rnacentral:rRNA from 1 species
UAAUUAUGUGGUAGCAAUAUUAUGUAGUUGGAGCGGCGCAAGGGUGCGUAACACGUGGGUAAUCUGCCAUGAAGUUUGGGAUAACUUGCUGAAAGGCGAGCUAAUACCGGAUGUGAAAAUUGGAAGGCAUCUUUUGAUUUUCAAAGCUGGGGACCGUAAGGCCUGGCGCUUCAUGAUGAGCCCGCGGCCUAUCAGCUAGUUGGUAAGGUAACGGCUUACCAAGGCUAAGACGGGUAGCUGGUCUGAGAGGACGACCAGCCACACUGGAACUGAGACACGGUCCAGACACCUACGGGUGGCAGCAGUCGAGAAUUUUUCACAAUGGGCGCAAGCCUGAUGGAGCGACGCCGCGUGGGGGAUGAAUGGCUUCGGCCCGUAAACCCCUGUCAUUUGCGAACAAGUUGGUUCAAUUAACACCUGAACCAUUGAUAGUAGCGAAAGAGGAAGGGACGGCUAACUCUGUGCCAGCAGCCGCGGUAAUACAGAGGUCCCAAGCGUUGUUCGGAUUCACUGGGCGUAAAGGGUGCGUAGGUGGCAGGGUAAGUCGGAUGUGAAAUCUCCGAGCUCAACUCGGAAAUGGCAUUGGAAACUACCCAGCUCGAGGGUUGGAGGGGGGACUGGAAUGCUUGGUGUAGCAGUGAAAUGCGUAGAUAUCAAGCGGAACACCAGUGGCGAAGGCGAGUCCCUGGACAACUCCUGACACUGAGGCACGAAAGCUAGGGGAGCAAACAGGAUUAGAUACCCUGGUAGUCCUAGCCGUAAACGGUGCACGUUUGCUGUAAGAGGAAUCGACCCCUCUUGUGGCGUAGCCAACGCGAUAAACGUG